rfam:Paenibacillus sp. TI45-13ar contig00068, whole genome shotgun sequence.
GCGCGUGUGGCGGAAUUGGCAGACGCACUAGACUUAGGAUCUAGCGUCUCACGACGUGGGGGUUCAAGUCCCUCCACGCGCA